ACGUGGCGCCUCGGAGGAGGCUGAGAGAUGAAUUCAUUACAGAAGACCAGCUCCAUUUUCUGGGGGCACCUCUCUGGAGAGCUCUGAGAGAGAGAAGUGCUGUGCUGGACCAGUGGGAGGCAGAGAAAUGCCCUGGAUUAGGAAGCAAAAUACAAGAUGCUAGAAAGGCUCAGAUGCAAUUAAAAGUAAUGAGACGGUAUCAAAAAGGGAAGCGAUGAGAACUUGUGAGCCCAGCACACUGGCUCCCUGCCUGGAAAGACACACUCUCGGACAGCAUUCACAAUCGCCCAGGGAAGA
rnacentral:lncRNA from 1 species